ensembl:snoRNA
CCUGUGUCUAGAGUCACAUCCUGAUGGCUCUCAUCAUGGUGUGCUGAAGCCUCGGAGAGCAUCUGCUGGUCUUGAUUCACUGGCGAGGUCAAUCAGUGCCCCCAGUAGUGCCCAGAUCAGAAAUGCCC